CAGGUCCAUGGUAAGGCCUGCACAUCAGGCCUGUGCUGAGGGCACAGGGCAGAGCUGAAGGCAAGGCCUGCAGCCCACACAGAGCACACGGCAGAGCUGCAGGCCCUGCAGCCGGGCUGUCAGUCAAGGCAGACCUGCCUGGUAGCCCGCCCACACCACAUCCCUGGAGCCUGUGACUGGUUAUAGCACAACCCACUCUGGCCUGGAAGGCACUGACCGGAUAUCCUGCCUGGGAGGGAAAACUGAACUCUAUAAAUACACGAAACUCCAUGUGGUCUCCCUCUCCUGUCUCUCUUCUCCCUCUCCAGCUGGCACCAAGUGAAUCACUGAAUCUUGCUUCCUUCAGGAACUGGAAGGUCCCAAUUAAGUCACCUCAAAGCCUUUUCAUUUCCAGUCUGAACAAACCCAAUUGUCUCAGUCUUUCCUUGUUGAUUUCCCCCUAAUCAACUUGGUGAUCCUCCUCUGGACUUGCUCCAACAGGGGUGUGAACAGUUGCUGCAUGCUGGAGAAGAUAGGACAAGAACUGUACAAAUAUGAACUUGCCACAAAACCUCCACUUCAUCUCUACCCUGCAGGCCAAGUAUCUACUUGGAGUAGGAAUCUAUCAUUAUCUGUUCCACCAUCAUGCUGGAAAUAGGAAAGCAUUUUAUACUCACGGGUGCCUAAGGAUGCAAUCAGCUUUUCAAAAGGAUUGGAAACCACCUCUGCAUUGAAGACCAGACACACAGAGAAAUAACAUGGAAAAUCAUAUUUAAGAGCAUCUUUUGGUUAUUGAAACCUGCAAGAAAAAACAGUUCUAAUUUUAAA